UCUAAUAUGGCAGAUUAGUGCAAUAGAUUUAAGCUCUAUAUAUAAAGACUUUUUUUUCUUUUAUUAGAA
rnacentral:tRNA from 1 species